GCAGCAUGGAAAGGCUAAGGAAGACCCUGUGCUCCAGAGGCUGAGGCUUCCUGUGCCAGCAUGCAGGAAGAUGUCUUCAGUUCAUGCUGCCCUGGAUCCUGGCACAACCUCCUUCCCUGGACCAAAUGCUUAAAGAGACAUGAAAGCAGCCACAGUCCAGUGCCCAGGGAGGGCUGCAGACUUUCUGGAAUUUGGCUCCUUCAGGCUUCUUGGAAUCUGUAGGCGUUUGAUGAAAUUAGAAAAAGAAGCAAUGCUACCAUGCUUGUCCAGCUGUCCCCCAUGCUUCAGUGGGCAGGGCCAUUUUCUUGGGCAGACUGUGUUCUGUCAGCCUCCACAGCCUGUGGGGAGGCAGAAGUCCUGCAAGGCUGAUUUUAGCAAGCUGGGAGAGACUGGAGAAGAGUGCUUCAGGGCUGGAAUUUCCAUCUGUCCUCAGUCACGAUACCCUCAGCAGUAACGAUACUCAGCUCAACUCCCAGAAUGUUUGGUGUGAAUGAAUUUUCACUACAAUAAAAAUAGAUCUGCUAUUCUUUAAAA